rnacentral:rRNA from 1 species
UACGAGGGGGGCAAGCGUUGUUCGGAACUAUUGGGCGUAAAGGGUGCGUAGGCGGUCUGACAAGUCUGCUGUGAAAUCUAUGGGCUCAACCCAUAGUCUGCAUCGGAAACUGUCGGGCUUGAGUAUGGGAGAGGUGAGUGGAAUUUCCGGUGUAGCGGUGAAAUGCGUAGAUAUCGGAAGGAACACCUAUGGCGAAAGCGGCUCACUGGACCAUUACUGACGCUGAGGCACGAAAGCUAGGGGAGCAAACAGG